AGGAUGAACGCUAGCUACAGGCUUAACACAUGCAAGUCGAGGGGCAGCAUGGUCUUAGCUUGCUAAGGCCGAUGGCGACCGGCGCACGGGUGAGUAACACGUAUCCAACCUGCCGUCUACUCUUGGACAGCCUUCUGAAAGGAAGAUUAAUACAAGAUGGCAUCAUGAGUCCACAUGUUCACAUGAUUAAAGGUAUUCCGGUAGACGAUGGGGAUGCGUUCCACUAGAUAGUAGGCGGGGUAACGGCCCACCUAGUCUUCGAUGGAUAGGGGUUCUGAGAGGAAGGUCCCCCACAUUGGAACUGAGACACGGUCCAAACUCCUACGGGAGGCAGCAGUGAGGAAUAUUGGUCAAUGGGCGAGAGCCUGAACCAGCCAAGUAGCGUGAAGGAUGACUGCCCUAUGGGUUGUAAACUUCUUUUAUAAAGGAAUAAAGUCGGGUAUGCAUACCCGUUUGCAUGUACUUUAUGAAUAAGGAUCGGCUAACUCCGUGCCAGCAGCCGCGGUAAUACGGAGGAUCCGAGCGUUAUCCGGAUUUAUUGGGUUUAAAGGGAGCGUAGAUGGAUGUUUAAGUCAGUUGUGAAAGUUUGCGGCUCAACCGUAAAAUUGCAGUUGAUACUGGAUAUCUUGAGUGCAGUUGAGGCAGGCGGAAUUCGUGGUGUAGCGGUGAAAUGCUUAGAUAUCACGAAGAACUCCGAUUGCGAAGGCAGCCUGCUAAGCUGCAACUGACAUUGAGGCUCGAAAGUGUGGGUAUCAAACAGGAUUAGAUACCCUGGUAGUCCACACGGUAAACGAUGAAUACUCGCUGUUUGCGAUAUACAGCAAGCGGCCAAGCGAAAGCGUUAAGUAUUCCACCUGGGGAGUACGCCGGCAACGGUGAAACUCAAAGGAAUUGACGGGGGCCCGCACAAGCGGAGGAACAUGUGGUUUAAUUCGAUGAUACGCGAGGAACCUUACCCGGGCUUAAAUUGCAGAUGAAUUACGGUGAAAGCCGUAAGCCGCAAGGCAUCUGUGAAGGUGCUGCAUGGUUGUCGUCAGCUCGUGCCGUGAGGUGUCGGCUUAAGUGCCAUAACGAGCGCAACCCUUGUUGUCAGUUACUAACAAGUCAUGCUGAGGACUCUGACAAGACUGCCAUCGUAAGAUGUGAGGAAGGUGGGGAUGACGUCAAAUCAGCACGGCCCUUACGUCCGGGGCUACACACGUGUUACAAUGGGGGGUACAGAGGGCCGCUACCACGCGAGUGGAUGCCAAUCCCAAAAACCUCUCUCAGUUCGGACUGGAGUCUGCAACCCGACUCCACGAAGCUGGAUUCGCUAGUAAUCGCGCAUCAGCCACGGCGCGGUGAAUACGUUCCCGGGCCUUGUACACACCGCCCGUCAAGCCAUGGGAGCCGGGGGUACCAAAAGUGCGUAACCGCGAGGAG
rnacentral:rRNA from 1 species